CGCGGGUUCCCCUUGCAACAGGUGCCGGGCGCUCCUCGAGGUUUGCCCGCCAGGGGGGUCUGCCCUGCUCCACACCUGAGAGCCAGGCCAAGGCUUCAAGGCAAGCCUCUGCUCAAGCAGCACCUGGCUUAUAGCUAAGCACAGAGUUAUUCCCUUCUCACCAUGGACAGGGACAUUCCACACAUCUCCGAACCAGACCAAGGCUUCAAGGCAAGCUUCUGGUCUAGCAACCCCUGCCCUGUGCCUCACACAUCUGAGAGCCAGACCAAGGCUUCUAGCAACAGGUCUAGCCUUAAUAGCCAAGCAAGAAAAGAGUUCUUCCCUGCUCACCCAGGAUAGGGACACUUUGCACAUCUCAGAUCCAGAGCAAGGCUUCGAGGCAAGCUUCUGGUCAAGCAGUACAUGCCUUAAUAGUUGGAUCUCAGACAUAGAGCAGGUACAGGGAAUUCUGCCCUACUCCAUACCUGCACCUCACACACCUGAGAGCCAGACCAAGGCUUCAGAGCAAGCUUCUGGUCUAGCAGCAGCUGGCUUAAUAUUAAAUGGUUGGGCUUCAGUGCAGGCCCAGGGAGUUCUGCCUUACGCCAUACCUGUGCCUCACGCCUGAGAGCCAGACCAAGGCUUCAAGGUAAGCUUCAGGUUAAGCAGCACCUGCCUUAAUAGUAAAGGGUUGGGACUCAGAGCAGGUCCAGGGAGUUAUGCCCUACUAAAUACCUGCGCAAGGCAAGCUCCUUGUCAAACAGCACCUGCCUAAUAGCAAAACAAAGAGUUCUUCCCUGCUCACGCAGGACAGGGACACUCCACACACCUGAGAGCCAGACCUAGGCUUCAGGUCUCGCAACAUCUGUCUGCUUUAAUAGCCAAGCAAGCAAAGAUUUAUUCCCUGCUCGCCCAGGACACUCCACACAUCUCAGAUCCAGACCAAGGUCCAAGGCAAGCUUCUGGUCAAGCAGCACCUGCCUUAAUAGUAAAGGGGUGGGCCUCAGACUCAGAGCAAUAGUAAAGGGGUGGGCCUCAGACACAGAGCAGGUCCAGGGAGUUCUGCCCUACUCCAUACCUGCGCCUCAUACCUGGAGCCAGACCAAGACUUCAAGGCAAGCCUCUGGUCAAACAGCACCAGCCUAAUAGCAAAGCAAAGAGUUCUUCCCUGUUUAACCAGGACAGAGACACUUCACACAUUUCAGAUCCAGACCAAAUCUUCAAGGCAAGCUUCUGGUCAAGCAACACCUUCCUUAAUAGUAAAGGGUUGGUCCAGAGCAGGUCCAGGGAGUUCUGCCUUACUCCAUACCUGUGCCUCACAUGCCUGAGAGCCAGACCAAGGCUUCAAUGCAAGCUUCUGGUCUAGCAGCAUCUGUCUUAAUGGAACCUCUGGUGGCACAAUGGGUUAAACCCUUAUGCCAGCAGGAUUGGUGACCAAAAGGUCAGUGGUUUGAAUCCAUGCAGCAAGGUGAGCUCCCGUCUGUCAGCUCCAGCUUCCCAUGCAGGAACAUGAGAGAAGCCUCCCACAGGACAUUGUCACUUGGGCAGCGUCCCUACAGGUGGCCAAUUCUCUCACACCAGAAGCAACUUGCAGUUUCUCAAGUUGCUCCUGACCCAAAAAAAACCAAAAACCCUGCCUUAAUAGUAAAGCAAAGAGUUCUUUCCUGCUCGCCCGGGACAGGGACACUUCACACAUCUCAGAUCCAGACCAAGGCUUCAAAGCAAGCUUCUGGUCAAGCAGCACCUGCCUUAAUAGUAAAGGUUGGGCCUCAGACUCAGAGCAGGUCCAAGGAAUUCUGCCCUACUCCAUACCUGUGCCUCGCGCACCUGGGUGCCAGACCAAGGCUUCAAGGCAAGCUUUGGUCUAGCAGCACCUGCCCUAAUAUUUAUUUAUUUAUUUACGCCAUUUAUAUCCUGCCCUUCUCACCCCGAAGGGGACUCAGGGUGGCUUACAUGGGUGGGAUUAUUUCAUGCCCGAACAACAACAAUUAAAAGUAAUUAAGCAACAAUUUAAAACAAUGUUAAAUCAACAUACGUAAACAUUAGACGACUAUUGUGCAUAGAUCCAAAGCCAGAUAGUCAUAUUCACCCAUCCAAAGCCCAUUCCAACUAUAUUGCACAGGUAUUUAGGCUGGACCAAAUGCUUGCUCCCAAAUCAAGUUUUCACUUGUUUGCAAAAUGACAGGAGGAAAGGGGCUGAUCUAAUCCCACCAGGGGAUGGAGUUCCACAAUAAUAGCAAAGCAAAUUGCCCAGGACAGGGACACUCUGCACAUCUCAGAUCCAGACAAGGCUUCAAGGGAAGCUUCUGGUCAAGCAGCACCUGCCUUAAUAGUAAAGGAUUGGGCCUCAAAGCAGGUCCAAGGAGUUCUGCCCUACCCCAUACCCAUGUCCCAUACAUCUGAGAGCCAGACCAAGGCUUCAAGGCAAGUGUUUGGUCAAGCAGCACCUGCCUUAAAAGCUAAGCGUAAUAAUAUAAUAAUAAAACUUUAUUUGUAUUCCAUCCUAUCCCCCGAAGGGGGCUCAGGGCGGAUUCCAACAUAUGGUACAACAGAAAACAUUCAAUGCCUCUGUAAAAACAAACCAACACUGACAUAAAAUCCCAGAAAAACCCACAUAUGAAAAACCCCACAUAUAAAAACAACAUUAAAACCUCAUGCCAAAUUAAACCUAACAUUAACUAAUUAAACCAAACAUGGUCAAACAAAAAUUAUAUGAUGACUUAGAAUCAAAACAAACAUCCACAUUAAUCUACAGAGCCAACUAGAGUUGACAAAGUUACGGUAUGUGGGUUAGUUGUGUGGCCAAUGGUGGUAACUGGGCUGAUAUGAACUAGCAGAGCCCAAAUAUAAAAUAAUUCUCAACCAGGGACAAGCAAAGGGUUCUUCCCUGCUCACCCAGGACAGGGACACUCCACAUCUCAGAUCCAGACCAAGGCUUCAAGGCAAGCUUCUGGUCAAGCAGCACCUGCCUUCAUAGUAAAGGGUUUGGCCUCAGAGCAGGUCCAAGGAGUUCUUCGCUACUCCAUACCUGAUACAAACCAGGGCUUCUGGUCUAGCAGCACCUAACUUUAUAGUAAAGCACCGAGGUUUAAAAGGGUUGGUCCUCAGAGCAGGUCCAGGGAGUUCUGCCCUAUUCCAUACCUGUACUUCACACAUCUCAGACCCAGACCAAGGUUUCAAGACCUUGUUUUAAUAACAAAGUACAGAAUUUCCUGCAUCUUGAAGAGGUUGUGCCUCUGAGCAUGUCCAGAGAGUUUUGCCCUGCUGGUUGACCACAGGACAACUGAACUCCACAGAUAUGACGUCCAGACCAAGGGUUCAAGGCAAGCUUCUGGCUUAGUAACCCAUACAUUGGUAGCAAAGCAUGAUAUUUCCUGCACUUUUGAGAAGUCAGGCCUCUGACCAUAUCCAGAGAGUUUUUCCCUGCUUACCCACCAUAGGAUCUCCACAGAUCUAGGGUGCAUCGACACUGCAGAAUUAAUGCAUUUUGACACCACUUUAGCUGCCAUGACUCAGUGCUAUCAAAUCCUGGGAACUGUAGCUUUGUAAGGUCAUUAGCCUCUUCUGUCAAAAAAUGUUAGUGUCUCACUAAACUACAACUUCCACAAUUGCAUAGCAUUGAGCCAUGAUAGUUAGUUAGUAGUGUCAAACAGCAUUCAUUGUACAGUACAGAUGCAACCUUGUCUGUAUUACCACAAGAGGGCCUCUGAGCAUGGCCAGAGAUUUCUACCUUGCUCACCUACCACAGCUGCAGUUCACACACCUGAGAUCCAGACCAGACCAGCAAUCCAAAAAUUCGUAGCAAAGCAUUGAGUUUCUUGCAGAUUUAAGAGGUUUGUGAAAUGUUACUUGGUACAGGUGAAGAAUCCCUUCCCCAAAAUACUGAAAGCCAGAAGUAUUUGGAAAUUCCCAAUAGAUUUGGGAAUAUUUGGAGGUUGAAUAUGCCUUACCUGGAAUAUGGAAAUACUCAAAUCAUUCAAAAGGGUGGCUGAGAUAAUGACAUCUUUGCUUUCUUGCGGCUCAGCAUACCCAAUUUUAUUUCCUGUGCAAAAGUAUUGAAAAUAUUGUGUAAAAUAAGGCAAUGUGUAGAAGGUGUAUAUGAUACAGAAAUAAAUGAUGUGUUUAGACUUGGGUCCCAUCUCCAGGAUAUCUCACCAUGUAUGUAUGUACAAACACAGGUAUUCCAAAAUACUAUUUAAAAAACCCCAACACUUCUGGUCCCAAGCAUUACACAUAAGGGAGGUUUGACCUGGAAAUAUCAUGGAGAAGGGACUCAAAUCUAAACACAAAAUUCAUUGAUGCUUCAUGUAUCGCAUGUUCAUUUUAUAUACAACAUUUUAUGAAACAAAGUUUGUGUGUCUUGAACCAUCAGAAAGUAAAGGUGUCACUAUCUCAGUCACCCAUGUGGGCGAUUUUGGAGCAUUUGGGGUUUCUGAAUAAAGAAUAUUCAACAGGUUGUACCUUUCUAGUUAGCGGCAGUAGGGAUACAUUAUUUUGGGGAGUACUGCUUGAAACAGGAGAAGACUAGAAAACAGGUAGAAGCAGCUUUCCCUUGAGCAGUGGUUCUCAACCCGUGGCUCCUUCAACUCCCAGAAAUCUUAACAGAUGGUAAACUGGCUGGGAUUUCUGGGAGUUGUAGCCCAAAACACAUGGGGACCCACAGGUUGAGAGCCACUGCCCUUGAGGAAAGACCCAAGGCACCUACAGAUAGGUCUCCAUGCACAAGAGAGGCUGGGUGGGCCUAGCAGUAACUGCCACCGCUGAUUUAUGAUGUAGCGAAAGUAAGUAGAGAUCAGUUCCUUGCAGUCAUAACACUACAACCUUAGUUCUCUAAGUGAAACUAAUUGUAAUAGAAGUUUUUUAAGCAGUCUUUUGUGUUCCUUCCUGCAGUGUGACAUUAUUGUACAGAGUCUGUUGACACAUGAUGCAGUGAUGACAACUGGUUUAGGCAACUUGAAAAGAGAAUUAUUGGACAAAUUCAUCAUGACUGAUAAGUCUAUCAGUGAUAGUUCCCUGUUUAAGCUAUAGCCUGGCAGUGCAAUUGCUGGGAGCCAAAUAGCAGGGCUUGAUGAUUGCCUUUAGUUUUUUCAGAAAGCUCCUAUCUGACUCCUGUCAGGAACAGGAUGCUAGACUUCAUGGGCCAUUUUAGCAGCAUUCUCCUUUCCUUAAGAACUUUCUCAUCUUUCAUAUUCUGCAAACAUUGAGUAUAUAGGAAACCUGCCACAACCAGAUACCUUUUGAUAAUAAGCCUGUUCUUUGAGCAUUGUUGCUACUAGAUGGAGAGCAAGAGACAGGAUUUUCACAGAGCUAACUGUCCAUUAUAAAGCGAAUAUGUGACAGAGGGUGAAAAUCACAGUCUUUCUCUUUUCCAAACAACAGUGUUUUAUUCAUCUUAAAGUCUGACAAGUUGUAUUUGGCAUCCUUUCUGACAUAGUAGGCUGUUAGUUUUGGGAGCAAGGUUUGGUUAAGCUUUGAUGGAAUAUCCUCUUUCAUGACUCUUGGUUAUAUGUAGCUCUGCACUUUUCACAGUACUGAUUUUGAAGAUGACAAUCAGGGUUGGAUUAUAUGGUCCUUGUGGUUCCUUCCGAAUCCUAAGAUCCUAUGAUACUAAAAAGGCAUUGAAUGUUGCACUUCUGCUCUUCCUGGUUACUUUUUAGCAAUUAAGAAAUUGUGGAGGUUGGCUAACCAAAAUAUUAGUAUUAAUAAAAGGCUUAUUGGGCUGUUAUUUAUUUAUUAUGUUUUUAUUAUUCCGAGUUCCCAUCUCCUUCAUUCGCUCACUGGCUUUAUGAUAAAACACUUAAGUUGUUUAACAAAAGCAAAAUGUACAUAAAAGCAGACAUAAAUGAAAACAAAAAUCCCACACAGAAAAAAACAGGGAAAACAGGAAAUUCAAUGAAGAUAACAGAUACACUUAAACACAAUGGAAACAGUCAAUACAAGAAAGCUUUAAAGACCACAGUUAAAAUCACAUAAAUAAAAAGAAACAAUAGAUCUUUCACCUAAAUCCCAGAUUAGAUGUCAAACAUAUGUUGGAAUAAAAUGAUCUUGGCCUUCUGGCAGAAGGACAACAGAAAAGAGGCCAACUCAGACUCUCUCAGCAUUUCUACGCCUGAGAGUGGCCACCCAGAAGGCCUUCUGCUGCAUCUCUCUCCCAUAUGUGUCUCUGAGGGUGGUAGGACUACGCAGAAUAUCAUCUCCCAGAAACCUUAAAGUCUGUGUAGGCUGAUAAGGAAGAAUAUGAGCUUUGAAACAGCCAUAUUACAAAUUGCAUAGAGCAGCCAGCACUUUGAGCUGGAACCGGAAACAGACCAGUAGCUUGUGAAACUGUUAUACCAAAGUAGUCACAUCUCCCUAUAACUUGAUCAAACAGUCUGGACACAGUAUUCUAGACCAGCUGAAAUGACUGAACACUCCUCAGGUGCAACCUCAUGGUAAAGACCUGGCUUUGCGAACAAGCGUUUAAUGAAUAAUUUAUGAUGGCUUUAACUCGGUCCGGACUAAGGUUUACGUGCAAGGUUUAUGUGGACGAAUGGAUUAAGUAUUUUAUUAUACUGUUUUAAAUGUAUUUAUUGGAUUGUUUUAAAUUGAUUGUUUUAAUUGCUAUGUUUUAUUUUUCUACUGUAUUGUGAGCCGCCCUGAGUCCCUUCGGGUGAGAAGGGCGGCAUAUAAAUGAUGGAAAUAAAUAAAUAAAUAAAUAGAG